GCACAGAGCUGCCUGGCUGUGCCUCUGUGUAGGAGCCAGAGGGGAGACAUGGCGUUGCUCCCGGGAGCUGCUUAAGAAAGACCUUUUCCUACCCUUUGUGGGUAAAAGCCCAAAGGCCAGAGAAAGUCAGGCAAAGCUUUUGAGGGUCCUAUCAGCAUAUGCAAAAUACAAUUCUCAAAUAGACUACAGUCAAGUUUAAAGUAACAGCAAGAAGGGAUGACAGCGAAGGACUGCUGGGUGGAAGACAAAGAUGUAGACAAUAAGUCCUGUGGUUGCUUGGAAGAAUGUGCACGUCUUGACAACUGUAGCUUCCUGAAAAGGCAACAACACACAUAUUUGUAGUAGUUUUGGUAUUUUUAUUGAAUGGAGAAUAAAUCCUGUGAGACCAAUCUUCAUGUCGGCAGACAUAAAUUUUAGUAAUUUACGAAUGGUAUUGGUAAUUCAAGAGUAGUUAUCAAUUUAUAUUGACUAGCAAUCCUUAGUCUCCCUAACACAUAGUUUCUCAAACUGUGUGGUCCAUGGACUUCAUUUUUGUCUUCAGAGACCAGGUGAGUUACAUGGUACUUCUCUUCCUUGUUUUCCGCUGCUUUUACAGGUGUCCAGGCUUCUUUAUAAUGAAGAGCCUGGACACUAGUAAGAGAAGCCAUUCUAUUUGCCUCCAUUAAGGGUGGAAGCUACAAGAGGAAGAGAAAGUGAAGCAGGAGCUGCCUUCAGGAACAGAAGCCGCAAGGCAGAUAGCUGCUGCCUGAAGAGAAAAGGGGACCAGUCAGGAGACUAGAGGGAAAGAGAGUCUGGGUUACAUGUGUUGUGGUGAGGGGCACAGAGACAGGAAAAGGUAUGAACAGAUCAGAUGGAAAGAGUGGGAUAUGAAAUGAAUAUUUCCUUUCCCUAAAAGGACGCAACACUACAUUAGAGAUAGUUAAUAAUAGCUGGAAACAUUACAAAAACUUUCAGUAUAGAUAAGGUUCUAAUACUUAAUUAUAAACAGUUAAAUACUAUAUUUCAACCCCCUGAGAAAUGGGAGACUUCAAAAGACCACUUGCUUAUUUAAUUAUUACUGAAAAGCUAAUGAGUAAUUCUAGAGGGUCCAAAGUUAACAUUUUGAAACUAUAUUCUGAAACUCAAACUUGGUAUAGAAGACAAAUGUGAAUAAAAUAGGAAAGGAUUUAAAUAAAUUAUUUUAGAGCACUGACCAUUUAUUUGGCAUAGGAUAAUUUUCUCCUCCAUAUGUGUUUACAGUAAAAGAAAUGUUAAUUCAGUGGUUAGUGAUACUCUCAUUUAAGUAAAAUCUACAAAGAUGCAUUGGUUGACAGCUGAAUUGAAUGUGGAAUGAAAAGUACUUUUAUCCAUAUUUGGUUGAAAUACUCGAGUACAGCUAUGUUGGUCAAGAAUUUGAACUCUUAUAAUAGAUAAAACAAAAAUGAAAUUACCAAUUGAUCCUUUGAUUGUGUUUUUGGGGCACUCAGAGAAAGAGAGAUCCAUUGGAUAAUACAAAAUUCUGAUAGCAUCAAGGUGUAUUCUUGCAGAAUUUUAGAAAAAGAGGAAGCCCCUGAUAAACUCUUGUUUCAGAAGAGGUUGAUAUAUUCUUAUAAUGGAAAAAGCUUAUAGGUGAUCUGAAACAAGGGGCUAGUAGCCUUUCUCAGAUUAAGCCGCAAUUUCUGGAAUAUAAAAAAGACAAUACAAAAUAAAUAGACCUGGGAAAUACAGACAUUUUGUUUUACUGUAAAACACUUAAUCUUUUUCUUCUGUUCUAGUAUAUAGACAGGAUUAUAAUAUGUAGAACUGAUGUAUGUUAAACUUCAGCUUUUACUACAAGAUUUUUCAAUAUGGUAAUGUAAUUUAAAAUGGAACAAUGAUUUUUCUUAUAUCUACUACAUCUGAAAAACUAUGAAUAAGACAGUUAAAAUAUCUAAAUAUUGAUAUUACUUUCCAUGUAAGCAAUUACUAUAUUAAAGUUCAACACCCAUCAAGUUAUUUGUCUUCACACAUGCAUGUUCACAGGCUGUCUCAUGCAUUAUGUAAGUGUAGGUUGCUAUUUGUCAUGCAUACUCAGGUCACAAUUCAUGCGGUUUAUGAUUUUUUAAUGCACAUUCAUGGAUAUCCCUGCACACAGCUGCACUCAUGCAACAAGUUAAAAUGCAUACACGAAUCAUGUGACAUGCUCUUCUUUACAAGACAUCAAAUCUUGAAAUGGUACUAGCUGCUGUUUGUCUCUUACUGUCCACCUUUAUGGUUUCUUAUUAAAAAUACAAAAUGUAAGACACUAUUUUUUUUCCUGUUAAGGAUUUGUCUGUUUAAGGUCAAGUACACUCAGAAGUACUGUUAAAAUGCCUCUAAUUUAUACUUUUUUUUUCUUACUAGCAUUCAGUUACAUACUAAAAUCUUUCAGCAACUAGUUAAACAUAGCAUACCUAAAUUAUGGCAGCAUCUUGUAAGUAUGACUUCAGUUAGUGCUACUUACAUAUUUAAUUAUAAAUGUUAAAACUUUUAUGAUUUAGACUAAAAAUGUCUGUGUGGGAGCUGAUGUGUUCCUUUUGAAUCCCUUGACCCCUCUCCAAACUAUUCAACAGUGGAUAUCUCCAAUUUACUGAUUUUAGUAUUUGGAAAAACCCCACAAAAGUCUGAUGUUUGAGGCUGGGUUGAAUGGUAAUAGAUAUAUGAAGAUACAUCCUAAAUGUUUGUUAGCAGUAAUGUUACUUCUAGAAAGCUGCUAGACCACCUGGAAGCACUGUUGAUCAGUACCAUUUUAAAAACAAAUUAAACAGUUAUUUGUUAAAUAUGCAGGAAUGCUGAUGUCUUCUUAUUUGUUUCAUAACAUAGGGAUAAUCUAAUAAUUAAUGAGUUAUUACAUGAGAAUUACAAAACCAGAACAGUAAUGUCUGAUUCUGCAACCUCAAGUUACACAUAAGUAGACUCAUUGAAUUCAGUGGGAUUGCUGGCACAAGUACAACUUGUGAAUAAAGGGUGUAGAACUGGGCUCUGCACUUGCAUCAAACAUGACCAUAUUUUAAAAACAUAUACUGAUUCUCAUUUAAAAGGAAUGACACUCUCUGUGUUUGUUAGUUUACUCAGGCUUGUGUACCAUUUAUAUUGUUUAAUAACUUAUGUUUGUUCUAUUGUUAAUCAACAAAACUUACCCUAGUUUAUGAAUAAAUGUCUGCUUUGGGUUUCCUACUAGAAAUGUUACAGGAGCCAAAGGAAUGCUGCCAUUCUAUAUCACAUUAAUAUCUUUAAAUAACUAUAUUUGAAGGAUUCUGUUGAAUGAUUAUAGAUAGUACAAUUAUUUGGUUUCUUUGUAAGGGUUAUAAUUGAAUCUAUAGACUCUACUGCCAGUCACUUCAAUCCCAGAAAGAAAGAAAGAAAGAAAGAAAGAAAAAGUUUCUAAGGGAAGCUUGUUUAUAGCCUGUUUUGGGAAAGAAUCCAUGACUGA